GGGCCCAUAGCUCAGCGGCAGAGCAGCCGGCUCAUAACCGGACGGCCGCAGGUUCGAAUCCUGCUGGGCCCACCG
rnacentral:tRNA from 1 species